ensembl:lncRNA
UUUUUUGUUUUUUUUUUGUUUUUUUGGCUGCACACAUAAUAUGUGGAAGUUCCCAGGCCAGGGAUUGAACCUGCAUCACAGCAGUAACAAUACCAGAUCCUUAACCUAUUAGACCACUGGGGAAGUCCAACUGUGUCUAUUGAUUUUUAAUAACAAUAAUAAUUAUAAUCAUUAAGGGAAUUUUCUUAUUCAGACUGUUCUUUUUUUCAUUGUGUCUUCUCUGCUAUGAGUUUAUUCUUUUUUUAAAAAAAAAACAUUUACUUCAAUAAGAUGGGAAGAUCAAGAGGCUUGGCCACUGAUGACAUUCUGUCCUAAUUGCGUGUCAGGUGACAUUCUAAGAUCUUUACUUUCAUAUUCAGAUCCACUACUGCUGGAUGGAUCUCAUCAUUUUAAAUGGCUGCACAGCAUCCUCGUGCAUGAGUGUGUGUUGUGUGUGUGUGUGUGUUUCUCCAACCCUCUCUGAUAAACUUAGGCUGUUUUUAAAAUUUGCUGCUAUGAACAAAUCUUAUGUAAGUAUCUUAUGCACUAUGAGGAAGUUUUAAUGUACUCUUCUAUUAUUGUCUAAAAAUAAUUCUUGUCUAUAUUUGGGAUUCCUAUUUAGGAAGUAAAGCUAAAUUCUGUGGAAUACAUAUGUUUGAACUCGAGGGCCACCUUCUUGGAAUUGAGGUAUGGGUUUUCCUUUGAUUAUAGAGAAGGCUGCCAGCUAUUUGCUCAUUUGCUGCAACAUCUCUGGUCAGCCUCUGGGUUUUCUCUUCUCUUGCAACCUGCUCAUGUACCAACCACACAUUUUCAGCCACUUACCUUGUAAAAGCUUAUGAGAUCACCACAAAGCAGGACCCAAGGAUGACAGCCAUCAUUACCCAGAAAGACACAAGAGAGCUCCAGCUAAAUGGACCACGUAAGGCUUAUCUUAAGAAAUGAAUCCUUGAAAACAUCAGCCCAGUGAUGACAAAAGAAAGAAUUCUGCCUAGUUAGAGUUCUCUGCAGGAAGUGUUUUUGAUACUGUUUUGGCUUUAGGGGAAAAAAAUAAAAAACAAAAAAACAGGACUUUGUGAGGUUACCUAAGUGCACAGUGAAACUGCAUAUUCAAACUGUUUGAAUCCUGUCCUCCAAAUACAGAGGUCUUAUGUGAAAACAAUCUCAUUUUCAUUUUACUUUCUGGGAAACCCUCCAAGGCAUAGUGAAUUGCCAGCUUUUUUUUUUUUUUUGUGACCUUUAGUUCCUUAGCUGCUCCCAAGGGAAACUUGACCUUGGAACUGCAGAAAGGAGGAAAAUAAUUUUCAAGCUGGUGUGGGACAGGGACAGAAGUUUCCUUCUCUCUGUUUUCUCAUUGCCCAAAACUUAUGGAUUCUCCUGCACCAUGAUCCUGAGAGCCUCUGAGGUCACAGAAAUGAGGACACAAGUUGGAAUGAAGAUGCAUAUUUACCCCAAAGCAAGGAUACAGACAACAGGACUACCACAUGUGAUGGAGACUGAGAUGGCCAGCCAGGAGCAGUGCCCAGUAAGCUUUAGGAAUAACAUAAUGCUUAGUCCCCACCCAGAUUCAUGGCUGAUGCAGGGCUCUCUGGGUCCUCAGAGUAUUUGAGGAACUGAAAUAGAAUUCACAGGGCCUAAGAAUUCCUCCUGUAAGUUUACUUGGCUUCUACAGAUAUCGGGGCUCCACCUAUGAUGGGCUCUCAAUCUGUAGGAGGACUUCCUUGGGUUUCCUACCAUUUGGCAACUGCUUCACCCAUGAGGCAUCCAUCUGGUUAUAGCUUUAACCAAGAGAAGAAUCACAUAUAUCAAGAGACACCAGGGAGGCUCUGUAAGCACCAUUCAUGUCCCACAGGCAUGGAAGAGAUUCGGGGACAAUGGUUUCUUCCCGCUGGUUUCUCUGAGCAAGAAUUUCUUUGAGAUCUUACUUUGCUCAUGGGCACAUGGGUUUGAAAGGUUUUUACCUUUAAGGCAGAUUUUAUUAAGUUACCGUUAGUGUCUUCAUUUCCGGUACCCAAAGAAAAUCUAAUUAGAGUAACAACAUUACCACCUUGACCUGAUAGAAUCCCAGCCAAAAGCAGUUACUAUCUGAGCAGGUCUCUGUAGCCUAAGAACAGGCUGAGUAGUAUCUUCAGCAUUUUUAACUUCUGAAACUAGCUCAAGUGUCCAAUUCCUACCAUUGGUAAGUCUGAGGAAUCCAGAGAACUGUUUUGCAUAUUAGAAAAAAAGAGCAGAGACUUUGGAGUCCCAAGUGCUAUGAGACUUGCUAGCUGAGUGAUAUUGAGAAGGGUGCUCGCCUUGAAUGAGGCUCAUGUUCCUUAUCUCAAAGGCUAUCAUUGGAAAAUGAAACUUUUCUUACAGGGCUCUUAUGAAGAUUAAAUAAAACCAUCCUGGAAAGUUUUGACAUAUUUAGCUUUCUCAAAGUCAGAAAUUUGCAGAAAUAAACUUCAAAAAAAAAUCCUGGUAUAAUAAAUGAAAAUUUUGUUCGUAUGUUACAUUAAAAUCAACCAAACUAAACAAUGUUUAUGAACCACAAGAGAAAAACAAUUUUCUCUCAUAGCUUCAGAAAGGGCUAAAUACUCUGUAGGCGAUUAUUGGUGUGUAUGUGAGUGUGUGUUGAUGUUAUUUUCUUUGAGGAGAGGAAAAACCACUGUGAUAUUGAAUUUUAUGCCUGUAAGGAUCUAGAAACCAUAGGAGGGUAUCAUAAAUACAUCCUCUGAGGAGCCAAGCAAAUAACUUAAAAAGGACUCCUUAGUCUUUGACAUUUAAAAUACAAAUAGUAUAGAUACUAUUGGGUGAAUAUUUUUUCCCCAGAACAGAGUUUAGAGAACAUGGGCUUUGGAGUUAGACAGAUUCCAACUCAAAUAUCACCUCAUCUCACCAGCUCUGUGACUUGAGCAAGUAGUAUAAAUUUCUUAUAGGGAGUAAAUGAAAAAAAAAAGAUGCAGAUGAAAAGGCAUCUUUUCAUUACUGGUCAAUUACUGGUCCUAAGAAGCACUGGAUAAAUGUGAAAUGCUGUUAUUUGUCCUUAUGUUUCAGCUUCAUUUUUUCCUCUUUACCCUAAUGUUUUAGUUAACAAAAAUGACAGCGUGCCAGCUGUAUUAGAAAAGGGUACUCAGUGGACCUGGCGAUGCAGUCCUUGUUCUUAAUGCCUUUGCUUUCACCCUCUUAGGUAUGUAUGAGGCGGGUCAGUAAAAAAGAAGAAACUCUUUGUUCAGAGAUGUUUAGCCAACCACAUUUCAUGGUGGCAUUCUUUUAUCUUGAUCUUGUAAAUACUCAGGAAUUGUGGUUGCUUUGGAAUUUCUGCCAGGCAGCUAAUGGAAUUUUUAGGAUGUAUCUACAAACAAUAGUGCAAGCCUCUUUCUGUCCAAAUUCCUUGGAUUUAGAUGCAUGGCUAUUAGGAGAGGUGAAAUAAGAUAGUAAUUAAAUUCUUGUUCCUAGAGAAAGAUUAAGAUGGUGUCAUUUCUUUCCCUGGAAACAGUGCAGAUGUUGUUCUUGAAUUGGGGCUCAGGAAUCUGGGCCUCUGGAAGAGAAAGGAGCAGAGAUCUAGGCUGAGAGUUGCUUGGGUUUCUGGUAGGAAAUAUUCAGGACUGGGAAAAGCCCAGUGACAGCCACCUCUAGGACUGGAAAUAUUUCCCUUUGCUCCCCACCUGUUCCUCCCUUUACCUUCCCUCCAGCAGGUGCCAGCUAGUCAAACACUGGUCUUUGUAAUGUUGUGGUGGUUCCCUACUGGCCUAGGGCAUAGCACCUGCAAGGGCCAGUGAGGAACCUCUGACUUUGUAAGUCACCCUUGCUUUCCUCAAUUUAAGCUCCUGCCUGAACUUAAUUCCAUGACCCCUUGGGAAAAGCAAGGGGUUGGGAAUGGGGCAGAGGUGAGUAGAAUCCUGGCUCAGCCUUUGACUGAGUGAACUUGGGCAGGUGAAAGGAAUAGUAAUAACAUCUAUCUAGUCUAUUCGAUCUCAAGAAUAAUCUUCACUCACGUAAUAUCCAAUAUACAUGUGGUGGUGAGAAAAGCUGGGUACACUCUCAGGGGCCGCCAAUGUUUUGGCCUCGAGUCAGAUGCUGCACGGAAAGGACAGGUAAGACGUAUUGUAGAACAGCCUAUGGGAUUGUGGGUGCAUCUGGCCAAUGCACUGGGAUGUUCUGACACCCUCCUCCUCUUCAAAACCACCUCCGUCACUUGUGCUAUCUCCCCAAAUUCUCUGAAAUCUGGUCAGAUACACACUCAACAUUUUACUGAGCUUAAUGUUGUCACAGAAAUCUAUCAGUUUCUCAUACUUCUUCACCAAGUUUCUAAGCGUUAGCCAGAGAUUCACCUCAAUUCACACAUUGGGCUAUGCCUGGGUUGCCCUCUUUAUGGUCUCAACUCCUGCCUUGGGUUAACUGCAGGAGCUACAUAAAAUUUCCGGUCAGAAACGUCACUGCAUUUCUAUAAAUGAUUGACAAAAAUAGUGUCAAACAUGACCUUGUCUAAUACACGGCCCAGUCCCUUCCCUAAAGAGUUCAGAAAAAUAGGGCCUCCCUAUCCCCAGGCUUCUAAUACUUACAAGAAUCAGGAACCGUUGCAUGGAACUGACAAGCGUAUGUGGUGACAAUAUGACAAUGUUUCUAGAGGAGUUAUAUGUGGACCUAAAGAAGAGCGGAUUGCGUUCGCUAUGAAUCACCUAUUUCGGGAGUAUGUAGACUAGGAGAGGAGAAUUCCAUGUUUUUUGAUGAUUAUGUAACAAUCUCCCUCUUUCCCCCUCCCAGUCAUCACUUAGUAACUUAUUCUAGAGCUAGUCUAUUUCUUCCCUAGAGACCUGCAUGAGCAGAGGAAGCUUCUCAAAGCCGCAAGCGCCUAUGCCUGAGGUGACAUUAGAUACCCAGUUUGUGAGUGUGUCUUGUUCACGUUUGUUUAUCACCCACCAGGGAAGGACCCUGUGGCGUUUACUACUCUGGGGAGGAUGAAAAUGUACUCUGGUCUGGAGAAAAUAGGAGCUAGAGCUUCAGAAAAAGAUGUCUUCUACGUUACCUUGUGUCUAUUCUUUAGAAACACUCAGUCAGGCAAGGGCUUUAAUGGUUCCCUGUCAAAUGUAGGAACAGCUUUGCGUCAGUAAAUGAUUGACCUGCUCCCCCAGGGUGAUAAGCUUAGGUAAACAGGCUUGAUUCUGCUCCAGAAAUUUCAAGACUUUUAACUCCCUAGGUUCCAAAGCAGAAAAAGUGCACAUGGCUUUGAGGGAGAGCCUGUCAUUUGAGGUUGACAGCCCUCUGCAUGGACAGCGUGUUCCUCAGAAUUAUAGGCAAACUGUCCUCUCUGGUAUAUCUGGAGAGUGAAAAGAAUUCUUGCAAGAAAAAUUCUGGAACAAAGCCACUUUUCCUGAGCCAUGGCCGUGGAAGAAUUUCAAUAAAUCACAAAUCGGAUUUCUUAUAAUGCAAGAUUUUUUAAAAAACUUUUUGAAAUAUGUAGAGGGACAACAAUUUUCAAAGAAGAGAAACAAUGGAAGAUAAACAUAGCCCAAUUUCCAGAACACACCGGUGGACGAAUAACUGGAUUUCCCCCACACAUACCCACAUCUACCACACCUCCUUCUGCAGAUGCAUGGGCUACAAGGCUGGGCCAAGGGCUCCCUCUGUGAUCUCAAGACUAGGACCUGGGACCAGACAGAUCACUUACCUUGAUUGCAGCUUCUCAAUCUGGAUUCUUCCUUCAGCUUCCUUCCUGAAUCAGCAGGGGUGGCCUGCCACUGUUCUCACCCUUGUUGAAGAUUCUGGGAUGUUUGGAAGAAGCAUCAACACAGGCUUCUACUUCUCCUCCACCCUGAAAUUGAGACGUUUCCCUCUGUUUCCUUUCCUGAUCUCUCUGGCCCCUGCAGACAGGGGUCACGGGCAGCCACUUGCUUGCAGCCAGGUAUGUUGACAAAUGGG